AGAAUAAUGAGCAGAUGGUGUAACUUUGGUGUAACCUACAAACUAUAUAACAUCCAGCACGUCAAGCUUACACGAAAACGAGGAAAGUUUCAAUCGGUAAAUCAAUAAUGGAAUAACACUGAACAGAUAUUGAGAUACAACGUUGCGCUGGUAUUCCAAUAGCCAAGAUCAGUUUACGUGAAAUGCUACAGUCUUUCCAGGCAUUCUCCAACUAGAACGGACCAAUGGAAACUGUUAUGCGCACCAGUUCCAGCAACAUCUGGUUGUCGCAACCGGCAACUGGCAACCAACAAUAUAUACCGGUACUCAGCGAUGCGAGAGAAUUGCAUAACCGUCAGCACCCAGCGCAGUUGGAUGGAGGUAUGCUAAUUCAAUAAUCUAUGUGUGUAUUCCCUGAACUACGUAUUCCUGAAUGCGGAUCGAUAACUAAUGAAAGCAAUAGGAACCUCUAAUCUACAAAAGUGGAUACAUUGAGUAGUAAUGUCCGGCUAUAAAAUAUUUUCACCGUGAUCUAAAAUUGUAUGGGAUAAUUUCACGGCAGUUCGGUAUGAAUACAUAAAGAUAUAGAUGCAUUAUAUAAACAGUCAAGUGCUACUGGAUUCACGCUGCGCUGAUUCGGAGUUACGAACGAUCCUGUAGAAAGUGAUUUUUGUGAGUAUUGCUACGUAAAUAUUCGGUAAGUAAAAGUCGGUAAUGAAUAGUACAAUCGUAAGGUAUUAUAUGCUUUGGCAUAAAUAAUUAUGGUAUCUUAAGGAUAAGACUAAACUAUAGUUAAACACGACUUAUACGUACCUACGAUAUCCUAGGAACUAUAGUAUUAUAUUACUACAGUAUAAUACUAUGUGCAGUUAUCGUCGAGUCACCGUUUACAAUGAACAGUGUAAGAAUAGUUGGAAACCAGUUUUCAAAUGUCACCUAUGUACUUUAAUGCAAUCGAAUAAACGGUUCGAUCCUGUUUCGUAAACAAAGGAACAUUUUAUUUUAAUGAUAGAAAAAUUAAGAACAUGACUUUCAUGGGUGUCAUUGUACGACGUAUUUGGCUGACUUGUUUCUGACGUAUUAUAAAUACUGUAUAUAUUAUUUAUGUUAUCUAGAUAAAAAUUGAUGAUAAUUAUUUAGGUACACGGUGCAUCUGCCUACAUCUGGAUUGCUGUGCCUGAUAACAUCAUAUGGAUAAGAAGCUCUUGUGUCAAGUCUAUGCAAUUGAAGUUUCGCGUGCAGAGAUACUGCUGCACUUUGCAGUAAAUACAUAUACGUAUACAUAGUUGCACGGAAAGACGUUAGAUAUACGUAACAUGCAGUUAACGUAGAACGCGUAACAAGAUUAAGAUUGAUGAGAAAGCAGAAGACUCUUCGUGCAUCUCGAGCCAAUCGAGAGGAUCCAAUCAAGUUAAUGGUUUGCUGCUUGUUAAUUAUACUAAUUAAAACCUCGUGGUUCCAUAUAGAUUACAUAGCUAUUUAUUCUAUCUUGAAAAUGUAUAUCGAUUUUUUAUUUUGGAUAGCUCUACACUAACUUCCCUUGUGAUUAUCAAUAACGCGACUAAGAGUGUAUAAUAAUCGAAGAUAGCGAUUAUAUAUUAUAUUUCAUAUAAAUCAUUGCUCGCCUAGAUCGUAAAUGGAUUUUUAAACGUAACGCGCCACUAAACAAAUAAAAGCGAACCUUAAGUAAAUAGGUUAUUCCGUUACUGGUGGACGUACUAUGUACGUACAUAUAGUUAUAUAGCACAGUAUAAGUACACGGGUGGAUACUAAAUAAAGCAUGAGAAAUUUCUGACCGUGUAUUGUUCUUAAUUGAAAAUCUCGAUUCUUGCGUAAAACAUAAUCUUUUUCUCUCGUACACCGCAGCCGAUUAACCAUCACAAAUUUCUUAUAUAAACUACACGUAAAAGCAUGUAAAAGUCUCUCAUAAAGUCUCAGUAACAAAACAAUAGAGAAAGUGUACAGUAACGCGUCGCAGUAUAUACAUAUACAUGAUUGUUCUAAAAGACUAUUAAUAAUCGAAGAAAUAUUGUCAAUGAGAAAACAAAAAAUUUCAAUAUAAAAGAAAAAGCGUCAUUCAUUCAUCGAUUAAUUCAUUGAUCGAUUUCAUAGAAAUUUCCUGAAGUUUAUCCAGCGAUGCAACGCGACUGCAUUCAUGCCCAUUAAUUUAUUCAAUACAUCACACAAAUCCAAUAUCGAUAAGCUAUUCGAUCGAUGUAACCUCGUAUACGCACAUGUGACGUCGCAUAAUUCAAAUAACAACAGAACGAUUGAUACUUUCAGCAAAUAGCAACUUUCCACUCCUAAGCAUACCAGUGCAUCGUAUGCAGUCCUUAUGCACUUUUCUUACAGAAGACUCGCUAAAAUGCACAGCUUCCUAGUUUCUUAUACCAAUGUUCCCCUUCACCGGUUAUAUAUAUUUUUAUCAGAAAACAAAAAGAUUUAAAAAAAAAUGUGACCAACCAAUUUUCCUCCAACGUAAUUUCUCACCUGAUCACGAAUUACGGGGAGAUUGCAUUCUUUUCCAGGAUUUUAACUCGUUUCAGGGAAAUAACUCGAGUACGAAGAAUCGAUGUAAAACUCAAUGGCACGUAUAUAUACGCAAAUGCAUCCCGAUCGCUACCGUGCAUGCCAGUGCAUGUUUAAAUGCAUGAGCCAUUCGGACCUGAGUGCAUAAGGGAAUGCAGCCAGACAUUAUGCACAUGAGGCUCCGUGCUUGUCAAAGCAUUCUCGUAUGCGUCGUGUCACCAUGCGAUGCAUCAGGACGUAUAUCGACAUUAACCAGGAGUCCAUCCGAUUACCAUCAGCUUUGACGACGAAGAAGAAUCGAAGGCCGGAAAUCGAUUAUUUUUUUCUGCUGAUCGACCCUUGAAUUCCACAUUGGUCAAAAUUCGCACCCAGCAGUAUGGAUUUUAAAGAUGCUCGAGCGAGAUGCGACGUACGAGGAUCGAUCGACGUGUGGAAGAAAGGGAUCUACAGCGAAAUUCCAUCUUGGCUUGGUCCUGGAUAAACAGAACGAAAGUGAAAAGCGUUUAGAAAGUAUAAUUCGUGCGUGGAACAAUAUUUGAUAGCCAUUAAGAAAGAGUGUCUUAAUGAGUGUGUGAUCUCGUUUAUCAUACUAAUUAGUUUGGAGAUCAAUUUUUUUUUUUUAAAGCGUCCCACGCGUGGGCACCAGUACCAUACACAGUUGAGUUGGACCGAUGAGCAAUGAACGUGCCUCUGCGAAACGUGCAAAUUUAUUUUUGUAUAUAAUAUAAAUCAGCUGUCUGAUCGGCGUCGAUCUGUUAAUUAAUACAGUGGUAAUACAGUUAAUCGAAUUACGUUAUGAGUUCAUAAAUUUAUAUAUGGUUAAGCUAUAUCGCAUUGGUUAACUGCAUUUAAUUUAUUGCGGUUAUAUACUAGUACACGAUUGCGUUAUUGUACGAAUAUAGUACUAUUAAAGGACGAGAAAGUUUUACGUGAAUCAAAGUACGGGCGGAAUUUAUUUUCGUCUUCGUUCAGCACUCGUACAUCGAGUGUUCAAUACAGUGAUAGAUUUGGGUCACGUGUUCAAUUUCGUUUAACCAAAUAGCCACGGCUAUCUUUUUUUUACUCUUUAACGCGAAGAUACCUAGUCGAGUAAGAAAUGAAUGCAAACAGAAAGUUGUUAAAUAUUAUUAAUCCCGUGUCACAAACUUUCCUAAGUCAUUCGUUAUGAAAUCGGUUUAGUGUUAAAACCUUAUUGAUUUUCUUUUAUUGUAAAAGUCAUGGACAUUUAGAAUUACAUUGGCAGCGUGGCCGAUAGCACGAAGGGCUGGGUACGGAUAUUUAAGUCAACGGUAUCUCUGUCCUUCUCUUACGCGCGGUAAACCCCAUCGGUCCGUCUCUCUCGCACUCGCAGCUAUUGUGAUUUUACACGAUUUUUUCAUAUAAAAGGCCGAAUAUGUAAUUUGCAUUGAUCUAAAUUUAUUUGACGACUGUUCUCUGUUCAGCUGUUACGUUCAUACUGGACAGUUAGACUGGAGGUAGGGACUGUAAAUUCGACGAUUGCAUCGCCAAAGGCAGAUCUGGAGAUCGCGUCGUUAACUUAUCUCGUAGACUCUCACUGCCGAUUCAAAUGAGCUUCGACGUUACGGCAAGGGUACGGGAGAUCUCUAAAAACAGAACUAAGGAUUCGAUAAAUAAUUCGAACACGACUUUAAUUGCCGCCAAUUAAUGAAUUUCUCUCGGAUUUCCAAUGACAAAAAUUCUUUACCCAAUUUAACGGGCUCGGUGUAUUUGCGAACGCACGAACAGGUAUCUUUUCGUGUCAAACGUUCAUUGUGAACCUCUCUCCAUUGUUCGUCUGUUUCUACAGACCUGCAUGCCCAUCGAUCCGAAAUCGCUACAAUAGAAAUUAGGCUUGUUACAUUAUUAGCCCGUUAAAUGAAUCGUAUACCUACACCUGCGGCGAUUUCAAUUACGUAAAAGCGACGACGACGCUCUCAUGUGAAUUCGCCGAAAUGUCUCGAUCGUCGAUCCUGUUCAUCACGAGUUCCCAUUGUUCAUGGAAAUUAAUGGCGGAUCCGCAAUAGGCAGUCAGUCCUUCCCUGUUAAAUUA